AUAUUAUGGACUAGAUUAGGAUAUAUUUGAUAUAUUCUAAUACUAAGUAAGACAGUUCAAGUGUGAAUUCCUUAGUCGUAAUUGUUGACUCAAGAAGACAAGACAAUUUAGAAUUGUCUUCUUCGCUUAUAAAUAAGGGAGCUUGGUCUUACGAAUCGAUAUAUGAAAAUAUACGAAAACAUUAGAAGAGAAAACACCUAGAGAGUACUAUGGUUUCAAUCAGAGAUUUCCUAGCUGUCGAAGAUUGAAACAUGCAUUGGGAAUUGUUCCUGCAUCGAAUCGACAUGCACGUGGAUACCUCUAGUGAUGGAUUCAAUUCGCGGGAAUCGAGACACACGUUUACUACACAACGAGUAAGUUAAUUUUAUUGUUGUGUACGUUUGUAAUCUCUACACAUGAAUCAAUUGUAAAUCUAGAUCUAAUCCUUGAAUGUAUAUUCCGCUGCGUAUCAUUGGAUGAUGUCAAGGACAACCAACAGUGGUAUCAGAGCCCAGGGCUCGAUUUACAAUUGCUAUUGUGUUCUAAUUGAUUAUGGGUUAAUGAAAUUAGAUUUUAGAAAUCUGAUUUUGAAGUAUGAAUUUAGAAUCGAAUAAUUCAUUGAAUUGGGAUUGUUUUUCUUAUGUUGCUGAGCAACGAAGAACAUGUAUUGGAAUUAGAAAUUUUCGAAAUUUGAUUUUGAGAAUUGGUUUUCUGAAUUUGGGUGAGAAUUGCUGGGCAUUCGAACCUAUCGCUGGAUCUGAGUCAACCUCCGCUGGAGGCGGUGACAGGCGGCUCGGGGCUCGCUGUUGUACUGCUCCCGACCGUCUUCCGCCGCGGGCGUUGCAUCGCGGCUUCGAGCCGGCGUGCUUCUGUCCCUUCGAAACUGUUUCCCACCGCAAAAGCUUGAACGCCGGAGUGGUGCGGAAAUGGUGGUUGAAUGGCGAGCGGCGCGCGACGGGAGUACCACUGCCGGUGGAGUUCUUGCGCGGCGGAACUGCUCUGUUGCGGUAAGAACUCCGCUGCUUCCUCCGCUGAAAAGGCGCUUCCCUCCGACGCGGCUUCGAGCCGCUACCGGCGUGGAGAACUCGCACGGUCGGAUCUGCAGAGGGCCGGCGACGACACCGCCUCGAAGCGGGGGCGAGGAGUUUAUAGUCCUUCGCGAUUCGCGUCAACGACCGGUGAGGGGCGUGCGACGCCACGUUUGACGUGGCCACUUCGCACGGCGUGACGUCUGGAGACGUCGCGAACCUCCUCCGACGUGGUUCCGGCCACCGGCGAGAGAAGCGAUAGCAGCGGCGGCUGCAAUCUGUGGAAGACAGCAAACCCUAACUGGGGUCUUGGGCUGGGCUGCAGAUGUUUGGGCCUUGGGCUAGGCUUGUCAGCUCUAUUAGUUGGGCUGCUACUGAAUGGCUUAAGCUGGGUCUGCGAAAUUUAUUUAAUUACAGCCCAUCAAAGGUUGUAACAGUUUUAUUAUAAAUAAAUAAAAAUCUGUUAUUAAUUUAGAAUUAA